GAUGAACGCUGGCGGCGUGCUUAACACAUGCAAGUCGAACGAAGUGGCGAACGGGUGAGUAAUACGUGAGUAACCUGCCCUCCUUUUUGGGAUAAGCCUUGGAAACGGGGUCUAAUACCGAAUAAAGGGGGAUGGGCUCGCGGGCUAUCAGCUGGUGGGUGGGGUGAUGGCCUACAAAGGCGGUGACGGGUAGCAGGCUUGGGAGGGUGACCGGCGACAUGGGAACUGGGCUACAGCCCAGACUGAUACGGGAGGCGGGAGUGGGGGACAAUGCACGAUGGGCGAAUGCAUGAAUCAGCGGCGCAGCGUGGGGGAUUAAGGCUUUCGGAUUGUAUACCGCUUUCGCGAUCGAACGGGUAGCUGGAGAAGAAGCGCCGGCUAACUACGUGCCAGCAGCCGCGGUAAUAC
rnacentral:rRNA from 1 species